AUCGAACGCUGGCGGCAGGCUUAACACAUGCAAGUCGAGCGAGCGGCGGACGGGGGAGUAAUGUCUGGGAAACUGCUUGAUGGUGGGGGAUAACUACUGGAAACGGUAGCUAAUACUGCAUACCAUCAGAUGUGCUCCGAUGGGAUUAGUUAGUGGGUGGGGUGAUGGCUCACCUAGGCGGCGAUCCCUAGCUGGUCGGAGAGGGUGACAGGCCACACUGGAACGGGGACACGGUCCAGAGUCCUACGGGAGGCAGCAGGUGGGAAUAUUACGCAAUGGGCGCAAGCCUGAUGCAGCCAUGCCGCGUGUGUGAAGAAGGCCUUCGGGUUGUAAAGCACUUUCAGCGGGGAUGCGUUACUCGCAGAAGAAGCACCGGCUAACUCCGUGCCAGCAGCCGCGGUAAUUC
rnacentral:rRNA from 1 species